rnacentral:lncRNA from 1 species
ACCCAUCUCAAUCUUCUUCUUCCACCUCCUCCCGACACAAACCUCUUGAGAAAGAAAUCACAACAAAAAUACAAUAUUUAUUAUUCCCAGAAAACACAUUAAGAUGCCUAGACUGUAACCCCAAAGCUACCAAGGCCAAGAAAUAGAGUAAUAACCUUCACUGGUCCUUCAAGGCUCGUCUACAGUUUCAACAAGUUUGCACCCCGACAAGCCUUGCAGUAGGGGGGCUUUUGUAGUCAUUUAAAUUUUAUUGAAUUUAAAUUCAUAAAAUAAUUUGGAUUAUAUUUGAAUUUCAAGAUAUAUUAGUCCAAACAAAAAAUUGUGGCUAAUAUAAUGGAUUAAAUAUUUAAGUCCAAUAGAUAUGGAUUUAAUUAAAAGCACAAUUUUGUUGGGCUAAUCCAUUAUUUGUGCUUCAAAUGAUUGAGCCCACUUUCCCAGCCCGAGAUCACAUCUUAUCCUAAAGGAGUACAUUUGUUUCGUGUGUCAAAUGACGUGACACACCAUAACAUAACAUGGCAAGUCAUAUUGUAAUGCAAAUGAAAAUGCAUCGCAUGUACAUGUGAUAUGUUCUACCAAUAAGAGAUUUAUUUGUAUCAAAGCUCUCUCUUGUUUGUUGUGAAUUCAUCCCCCUUUUAAGUUAUGGUGGACCCUUAUUUAUAGUUGUGGAUGAGGAGUUAUGAUGAGAACAAAUUUAUUUACUUUGAUUUGAUUGGUUGGCUUGAGUCACCAACCACACAUAUUAAAGUUGUGACAAAGCCACAUUUGAUUGGCCACAACACUUGCACACGCGGCAUGUUUUCAUUGGCCUUAAUAUUUGACUUGGCAUGCUCAUGCUAUGCCAUUUGGUAUAUGGUAUACCCUAUAAGCUCCUUUACUUGACUUGGCGUACCACACCAUUUGACACAUGAUACAUUUGGCCCUCUAGGAUAAGAUGACAUCUUGGGCCAACAAAUUUGGCUCAUUAUUUGGAUCCCAAAUAAAUGGACUAGCCCAACAAAAUUGGACAUUAGUUAAACUUAUAUCUAAAGGACUUAAAUAUUUAAUCCAAUUAGUAAUAUUUAUUAGACUAAUAUAUCUUGAAUAUAAAAUAAUAUCUAGAUUAUUUUAUGGAUUUAAUCUAACCAAUUUAAAUGUUUACAAUUCUGUCUAACACAAAGUAAAAUUUCACCAAUGGAUUAUCCAUGAAAGAAGUUGUUUCAAUGUUUCAUAAGACAGAAUGAGAUGUAGGUACCAGGAUGGUCAAGUAUCAGUUUUGCAUUCAGGCAUUUUGGAAAUAGCACCAAAAGAUAUUCCAACAUAGUAUAAUGUUAAAAAAAAUGGAUUCCAAGGAUCUAAUAAGGAAUCACGCCAUCCUAGGGGAAUGCUGGAAUGAUGAGAUAGAAGAGAAAUACAAAACAUCGACAAAGCCACAAUGGUUGUCAAUGAAGCAAAGGUUAAUGUGAGGCUAUAGAUGAGUUAGUAGCACAUAAUUGCUAAGGAUACUAUCCAAUAAUCCAACCACACAAAUAGAGCACAAACUCUCUUUUUUGGGGGUGGGGGGCUGG